UACGUAGGUGGCAAGCGUUGCUCGGAAUUAUUGGGCGUAAAGGGCUCGUAGGCGGUCUGUUGCGUCAGGAGUGAAAACUCGGGGCUUAACCCCGAGCCUGCUUCUGAUACGGGCAGACUAGAGGUAUGCAGGGGAGAACGGAAUUCCUGGUGUAGCGGUGAAAUUCGUAGAUAUUAGGAAGAACACCAGUGGCGAAGGCGGCUCACUGGCCCGGUACUGACGCUGAGGCGCGAAAGCGUGGGGAGCAAACAGGG
rnacentral:rRNA from 1 species